CCAGAAUUUGGAAGCUUAUCAGACACAGGGGCCAGGAACAGAAGCCUCCCACAAGCCCAGAAGGACAUACUUAAUGCACAGCACUGAUUGCUACAGGGACCAAGAUGGGGACUUACAGGUGUGGGAAAACUGUAUGCAAAAACAAAACCCAAAAAGGACCUGAAUUUCUGCCCCUGUUAUAGUGUGAUGUAGCAGACAGACCUG
rnacentral:lncRNA from 1 species